GGUUCCCCACGAACAGCGUCCGAUCCGCCUCGGCGGCCGUUCCCCCCAUUCCGCGGCCGAGCCGCCCUCGCUCAACGGGGCCGCCGCUCGCUCCUGCGCAGGCGCCGAACGGGGCGAGGUCACGUGACGGGCGUGUGUUGCUACUUUGAGAGCUCAGCUGCAAGCGGUAGGAAGAGAUAACUUUUCAGUGUGACUACAAAUAGCUGUUGUGAAGCUAGGCCUCCAGGAUGGAGGAUAGUUGUUUUUUAAAUAAUAAAAAAAAAAAAACCCACAACGUUGAUUGAAGAAAUGAA